AGGGCGACACACGUGCUACAAUGGCCGGCACAGGCGGGAAGCGAGGGGGCGACCUUGAGCGGAUCCCUCAAAGCCGGUCUCAGUUCGGAUUGCAGUCUGCAACUCGACUGCAUGAAGUUGGAAUCGCUAGUAAUCGUGGAUCAGCCAAGCCGCGGUGAAUACGUUCCCGGGCCUU
rnacentral:rRNA from 1 species